rnacentral:rRNA from 1 species
UCGAUGUCGGCUCAUCACAUCCUGGGGCUGAAGCCGGUCCCAAGGGUAUGGCUGUUCGCCAUUUAAAGUGGUACGCGAGCUGGGUUUAGAACGUCGUGAGACAGUUCGGUCCCUAUCUGCCGUGGACGUUUGAGAUUUGAGAGGGGCUGCUCCUAGUACGAGAGGACCGGAGUGGACGAACCUCUGGUGUUCCGGUUGUCACGCCAGUGGCAUUGCCGGGUAGCUAUGUUCGGAAAAGAUAACCGCUGAAAGCAUCUAAGCGGGAAACUUGCCUCAAGAUGAGAUCUCACUGGGAACUUGAUUCCCCUGAAGGGCCGUCGAAGACUACGACGUUGAUAGGCUGGGUGUGUAAGCGUUGUGAGGCGUUGAGCUAACCAGUACUAAUUGCCCGUGAGGCUUGACCAUAUAACACCCAAACA